rnacentral:lncRNA from 1 species
CAGGAAGCAAGACAUAAUAAUGCAGACCACGCACAAUUAUUGGUUUUAAACUACUUUACUGAUAAAAUUCUCUUUUAAUAUGAAUAAGUUAGAUAUUCGAUUUAUUGAAAAUGUUUUAUCUUUACUUUUUAAAUGAUAUAAGAUUAUUGAAUAUUUUUAAAUAUGAGUUAUAUAAAAUUAUUGAAUGCAAUACAAACAUAAACU